UACGAAUGUGUGUGCAUGUCUUACAUGUGUGUGCCUGUGUGUGCAUGUGUUGCACGUGUGUGUGUGCACAUGUGUGCGUGGACAUGUGUAGCUGCUUUGUGCUGUGGUCUGGAUGUUUUUUGUGUCUACCCCAGAUUCUCGUUGAAAUCCUAACGCCCCAGGCAAUGAUGUUAGGAGGCGGGGCUUCUGGGAGAUGGCAAGUUCGUGAGGCUGCAGCUCUGCUGGGGGAUCAGUGUCCUUCUACAAGCGGCUCCAGGGAGGUCCCUUGCCCCUUCCACCAUGUGAGGACCCGAGAUGGUGCCGUCUAUGAACCGGGAAGUGAGUCCUCUCCGGACGUGGAACAAGUUGGUGCCUUGAUUUUGAACUUGCAGCCUCCAGCUUCAUGGGGUUUAAGUACGAUGAUGCUGCAUUGAGACGUUGUACUGUGUGAAGUCAGGGCCUUCUGUGCAUCGGUCGAGGGUGCAAUGCACACGGCACCCCCGAGCAGCCACCCAUCCUCCCUUCCCUCCACCCUGCGAGGCCCCGUUGUCCGUCUGUCCACACUCUGCUCCAUGAGCACACGUGACUUAGCUUCGCCUUGUGAGCCGCUGCUUGGGGUGAGCAUGCUUCCUGCUGGAUGCUUCUCUAUGUAAGCACCUGCCUGAGUGUCAGCCCUCUUAAGGUGAACCGCUCCGUGUCAUUCGUACAUUCACAAGUUUGUGCCGCCAUCAUCGUGAUCGGAUUCCAAAACAUUUUCAUCACCUCCAAGAAAGCCUUGUACCUGGCAGCAGUCACUGUCUCUAUGGAUUUGCUUAUUCUGGA
rnacentral:lncRNA from 10 species